rnacentral:rRNA from 1 species
GUACAAGCCUCACUAAGGUGAAACCGCGAAUGGCUCAUUAAAUCACACCUAAUCUACUGGAUAGUUAACAGUUACUUGGAUAACUGCGGUAAUUCUGGAGCUAAUACAUGCACAAAGCCCCGAACUUACGUGAGGGGCGCUUUUAUUAGAUCAAAACCAAACGGCUUCGGCUGUUCUCUUGGUGACUCUGAAUAACUUUGGGCUGAUCGCAUAGCCUAGCGCUGGCGACAUAUCCUUCGAAGGUGUGCCCUAUCAACUGUCGACUGUGGCAUAGACGCCCACAGUGGUUUUGACGGGUAACGGGGAAUCAGGGUUCGAUUCCGGAGAGGGAGCCUUAAAAACGGCUACCACAUCUAAGGAAGGCAGCAGGCACGCAAAUUACCCAAUGACCGAAGGUCGAGGUAGUGACGAAAAAUAACGAUACGGGACUCAUCUGAGGCCCCGUAAUCGGAAUGAGUACACUUUAAAACCGUCCCCGAGGAUCUAUUGGAGGGCAAGUCUGGUGCCAGCAGCCGCGGUAAUUCCAGCUCCAAUAGCGUAUAUUAAAGUUGUUGUGGUUAAAAAGCUCGUAGUUGGAUCUCGGCGGUCUGAGGGCGGUUCACUUGCUAGUGCUACUGCCCUAUAGACCGUAGUUUUGCCAGAGGUCUCAGGGUGCUCUUAAUCGAGUGUCUUGUGAUGCUGGCAGGUUUACUUUGAAAAAAUUAGAGUGCUCAAAGCAGGCUUUUACGCCUGAAUAUUCGUGCAUGGAAUAAUAGAAUAGGAAGUCGUUUCUAUUUUGUUGGUUUUCGGAAAUCGACUUAAUGAUUAAUAGGGACAGUCGGGGGCAUUUGUAUUCAAACGACAGAGGUGAAAUUCUUGGACCGUUUGAAGACAAACUACUGCGAAAGCAUUUGCCAAGAAUGUUUUCAUUAAUCAAGAACGAAAGUUAGAGGUUCGAAGGCGAUUAGAUACCGCCCUAGUUCUAACCAUAAACGAUGCCAGCUAGCGAUCUGCCGACGUUUUUUUUGUAGACUCGGCAGGAAGCUUCCGGGAAACCAAAGCAUUUGGGUUCCAGGGGAAGUAUGGUUGCAAAGCU